rnacentral:misc_RNA from 1 species
GAUGAAGAACGCAGCGAAAUGCGAUAAGUAAUGUGAAUUGCAGAAUUCAGUGAAUCAUCGAAUCUUUGAACGCACAUUGCGCCCAUUAGUAUUCUAGUGGGCAUGCCUGUUCGAGCGUCAUUUCAACCCUUAAGCCUAGCUUAGUAUUGGGAAUCGACUUUACUGUCGUUCCUCAAAUUCAACGGCGGAUUUAUAGCAAUCUCUGAACGUAGUAAUUUUUUUUCUCGUUUUUGAAAUACUAUAAACCUCAGCCGCUAAACCCCCAAUUUCUUAUGGUUGACCUCGGAUCAGGUAGGAAUACCCGCUGAACUUAAGCAUAUUAAUAAGCGGAGGA